rnacentral:misc_RNA from 1 species
UGCUCAAUUACACCGCUAACAGAUAAUGGGGAAGUCCAUAAUGGCGGGCCACACAACCUCAGUCAUCCCUUUCAACAUCAAUGUGCUACUUUGUGGGAUUCUGCAGAGAUGCUGUUACAUGAUGCUGGGAUUAUACUAGAAAUUCUUUUCCUAGUUCUCUUCUCCAUUGUAAGGUUAUUUUUCUCCAAUAAUGCAAUGAACUAGUUUGCUCAUCCAUGCGUAGCUUUCAUGAUGUUCAUUCCCUGCUCACUUGUUGGUGUGUUGAUUCCAAGAACUAUUUGGAGUUCUUUAAUUCCAUGUUUUGUGCAUAUAGUAUACUCAACUCAACUAA